AGCCUAAACCUAGUUUUCACUAGGCAUGGUGAAAAGUCCUAUCAAGCAUAAAGAACCCAUCAUGGGGUCGCUUGAUAGGCCAUAUCGGGAAACCGGUAUGAGAGACUUCGGUCUCU
rnacentral:sRNA from 1 species